AUACGGAGGAUGCGAGCGUUAUCCGGAUUUAUUGGGUUUAAAGGGAGCGUAGGUGGGAUAUUAAGUCAGCUGUGAAAGUUUGGGGCUCAACCUUAAAAUUGCAGUUGAUACUGGUUUCCUUGAGUACGGUACAGGUGGGCGGAAUUCGUGGUGUAGCGGUGAAAUGCUUAGAUAUCACGAAGAACUCCGAUCGCGAAGGCAGCUCACCGGGCCGGAACUGACACUGAUGCUCGAAAGUGCGGGUAUCAAACAGGAUUAGAUACCCUGGUAGUCCGCACAGUAAACGAUGAAUACUCGCUGUUUGCGAUACACUGUAAGCGGCCAAGCGAAAGCGUUAAGUAUUCCACCUGGGGAGUUCGCCGGCAACGGUGAAACUCAAAGGAAUUGGCGGGG
rnacentral:rRNA from 1 species